rnacentral:RNase_P_RNA from 1 species
AGAGUUGGUCAGAUGAUCGCGGGUUUCCGCGGCGGAAAUCCGAGGAAAGUCCGAGCUCCACAGAGCAGGUUGCUGGGUAACGCCCAGGCGGGGUGACCCGACAGACAGUGCCACAGAGAAGAGACCGCCGAUGGCCGGGCGACCGGGGUUCCGCCAGAGCCUCUGGUGGACGGGAAUUCGGCACAGGCAAGGGUGAAACGGUGGUGUAAGAGACCACCAGCAGUCCGGGUGACCGGAUUGGCUUGGUAAACCUCAACCGGAGCAAGACCAAAUAGGGGAGCGUUUGAGGGUGGCUCGCCCGAGGCUCCCGGGUAGGUCGCUUGAGGCGUGGGGUAACUCACGUCCCAGAGGAAUGAUCAUCACCGAUGCCCCUGGUAUCGGCACAGAACUCGGCUUAUGAUCGACUCUGACG